GUCUAUGGCCAUACCACCUUCAAUGCAUCAAAUCUCAUUUGAUCUUGGAAACUAAGCAGGGUGGGGCCUGGUUAGUACUUGGAUGGGAGAAUGGGUAAACUGCCUUGCCUGGACU
rnacentral:rRNA from 1 species